CCUACGGGGGGCAGCAGUGGGGAAUAUUGGACAAUGGGGGGAACCCUGAUCCAGCCAUGCCGCGUGUGUGAAGAAGGCCCUCGGGUUGUAAAGCACUUUCAGUGAGGAAGAACGCCUGGUGGUUAAUACCCAUCAGGAAAGACAUCACUCACAGAAGAAGCACCGGCUAACUCCGUGCCAGCAGCCGCGGUAAUACGGAGGGUGCGAGCGUUAAUCGGAAUUACUGGGCGUAAAGCGCGCGUAGGUGGCUUGAUAAGCCGGUUGUGAAAGCCCCGGGCUCAACCUGGGAACGGCAUCCGGAACUGUCAAGCUAGAGUGCAGGAGAGGAAGGUAGAAUUCCCGGUGUAGCGGUGAAAUGCGUAGAUAUCGGGAGGAAUACCAGUGGCGAAGGCGGCCUUCUGGACUGACACUGACACUGAGGUGCGAAAGCGUGGGUAGCAAACAGGAUUAGAUACCCUGGUAGUC
rnacentral:rRNA from 1 species